UACGGAGGGAGCUAGCGUUAUUCGGAAUUACUGGGCGUAAAGCGCACGUAGGCGGCUUUGUAAGUUAGAGGUGAAAGCCUGGAGCUCAACUCCAGAACUGCCUUUAAGACUGCAUCGCUUGAAUCCAGGAGAGGUGAGUGGAAUUCCGAGUGUAGAGGUGAAAUUCGUAGAUAUUCGGAAGAACACCAGUGGCGAAGGCGGCUCACUGGAGCUGGUAUUGACGCUGAGGUGGCGAAAAGCGUGGGGAGCAAACAGG
rnacentral:rRNA from 1 species